rnacentral:lncRNA from 1 species
UUGCCAUAAGGGUUCGCUCCUCCAUGGGCCCCUCCGCUUGGGGGAGGACUCACCCAUGGAAUGAGGACGUUAGGCCAUAAUGACGGAGGGUGCAGGAAGGACUGCAGGAGGAUGGAUCCACGGAUCCCAAAACCCAAGACCUCUGAGUGACACGCUCCGGUGCAUGGCGGUUGGCAUGCUCCCCCCUCAAAGCCGACUCCUCCAAAAACAUGCCAAGGCCACCACGAAAUCUCCCAGUGAAGACAAUCUCCUAGUGAAGACGCUCGCUCGGAUCAGGAGAUAUUCUAAGGCCUUCUAGAGGAACAGAGCCUCUAUCACCCCCUAAAAACAUGGCCAGUAAGGUAUGGUCAGAUAUUUUAUAUAAGAAAAGGGGAGAUGUCAGGGACUAGAAGGAAAUUCUCCUUCAAAGAUUAGCCUGACAGCCCCCUGGGAGACAUCCUGCCUGGGAGGCAUCCUGCAGCUACCUAUCUCCCUGGAACAUCCUGCGGUUAUCAGGAUCAUCAGACAUCUUGCACCUGGCAGUUUUACCACUCACAUCCAGCAAUUGUUGAUUAGAGAGCUUCCCCAUCCCCAGCAUAUAAAUACCCCUGUGUGAACAAUAAAAGUUUGCAGCUUGAUCAGAAUUUUUGUCUUGCUGUCACCUUUCGUGUCUCUUGUCCCUUCAUUCCUCCCCAUCUAGGUUCGCUG